rnacentral:rRNA from 1 species
UAACGAAUAAUCCGCAAUGGGCGAAAGCCUGACGGUGCGACGCCGCGUGGAGGAUGAAUUCCUUCGGGAUGUAAACUCCUUUUAGGGAAAUGAAAGUGAAGCGCGCUAACAUCGCGCUAGCUGAUCUAUCCCAGAAAAAGCCUCGGCUAAACCCGUGCCAGCAGCCGCGGUAAUACGGGUGAGGCAAGCGUUGUUCGGAAUCAUUGGGCUUAAAGCGCGUGUAGGCGGCGGCGUAAGUACCUUGUGAAAUCCCUUCUCUCAAAGGAGGAAUUGCUGGGUAUACUGCGAUGCUUGAGGCAGGUAGGGGUGCUUGGAACUCUAGGUGGAGCGGUGAAAUGCGUAGAUAUCUAGAGGAACGCCAGUGGCGAAAGCGGAGCACUGGGCCUGUCCUGACGCUGAGACGCGAAAGCGUAGGUAGCAAACGGGAUUAGAUACCCCCGUAGUCC